GAUCAAAAAAUUGUUAUAGGUAGAAAGUUAAUUAUAUUAGUUAUAAAAAAUAAUUUAAUUUUUAUUAAUUUAUGUGAAUAAAUUGAUGUAACUAAAGUGAAUUAGUAUUGUGAAAGAAUUUUUUUUAAUUGGAUAAUAGAAAGUUUAAAUUUCUGUACCUUGAGUAUCAGGGUUAUUCAAAUUAAACUUAACUAAUUAAGUUUCUCGGAUUUAAAAGAGUUAUAGAUUUAUUGUUUUAUUGUAGAAAAAAUAUUAUUAAUAUAUUUAUAGAAAUGAGAUGUUAUUCGAUUUUAAGUAUAUCUAGUUUUUUAAGAAAAAAAUUUAAUUUUAUUUUAAUGAUAUUAUAGUUUUAUAUUUUUAUAAUUAUAAUUGUUAAAUUUUAUAUUUUAGGGGAUGAGCUUUAAAAUAGAUUUAUAUAAUUAAAUAUGGAAAAGAAUAUAUAGUAGAAUUAUAAGUUUUAAUCUAAGAAAGUGUGUUAUAACUGUAUAUUUUAGAGAUAAAAUUUAUAUAGAGUUUAUUUAUUUUAUUAGAAUAUAAAUUUUAAUAAUUUUAAUUUAGUGAAAAUGAUUAAAUUAGUAUAAGUAAGAGGAGUAAAUUGUUUAUUUACUGAAAGGUUUUGUAAAAGAAUUCGGCAAAAGUUUUUUCACCUGUUUAUUAAAAACAUGGCUUGUUGAUUAUAAUUUCAAGUCUGGCCUGCCCAAUGAAGGGUUUAAUGGCCGCGGUAUAUUGACCGUGCAAAGGUAGCAUAAUCAUUAGUUUUUUAAUUGAAAGCUAGAAUGAAGGGUUUGAUGAAAAAAAAACUGUUUCUAUAAAAUUUAAUUAGAAUUUUAUUUUUAAGUAAAAAAGCUUAAAUGUUUAUAGAAGACGAGAAGACCCUAUAGAGUUUUAUAUUUAAGGCAAUAGGUAGUGUUAAGAUGAGAUUUUAUUUAUUGAAAUAUGUAUUUUUUUGGGGAGAAAGAAAAAUUGAUUAAACUUUUUUUUAAAACAAAUCAUUGAUUUAUGAAUUUUUGAUCUUUAGGUUAAGAUUAUAAGAAUAAAUUACCUUAGGGAUAACAGCGUAAUUUUUUUUAGAGUUCUGAUCAAAUAAAAGGAUUGCGACCUCGAUGUUGGAUUAAAAUUUAUUUUUGGUGAAGAGGCUGAAAUAUUAGGUCUGUUCGACCUUUAAAAUUUUACAUGAUCUGAGUUUAGACCGGUGUGAGCCAGGUUGGUUUCUAUCUCUAUAAAGAUAAUAUAUUUUAGUACGAAAGGACCAAUUAUAUAAUUAAUAAUUUUAAUUUUUGAUUAAUAAUAAUAA
rnacentral:rRNA from 1 species